GGACCCUACUGCUAUCGGGAUGGGACUAAGACAUGCUAGUUGUGCGUCUUCAAGCCAUGAUGGAGACGCGGCGCACAGCUCAGUAACACGUGGCUAACCUAACCUUGGGACGGAAACAACCCCGGGAAACUGGGGCUAAUUUCCGAUAGGUGAAGACUCCUGGAAUGGAUUUUCGCCCAAAAGACGCUUAGAUCAUGCUUCUAGGCGUUGCCCAAGGAUGGGGCUGCGGCCGAUCAGGUUGUUGGUGAGGUAACGGCUCACCAAGCCUUUAACCGGUUCGGGCCGUGGGAGCGGUAGCCCGGAGAUGGGUACUGAGACAAGGACCCAGGCCCUACGGGGCGCAGCAGGCGCGAUG
rnacentral:rRNA from 1 species